rnacentral:rRNA from 1 species
AUGAUGACCGGAUCGAGCUCCCGAGUGUUCAUCAUGCUCGGCGCCGGCCAUGUCCACUACCUCGUCGCGGGAGGCUCCGGAGGAGGCGACGACCCCAGGUACCCCUGGACCUUCAAGUCCCUGCACGAGGUGGACGCCGUCGUCCCUGCCAUCGCCCGUGGAGCACCGGUAGGGCCUGACGGGUGCCCCAUCUGCUUCCGCACAUUCGCCAGUGCCAAGGCCGUCCAUGGCCACAUGCGCAGCCACACGGACCGCACCUGGCGUGGCAUGGAGCCGCCCCGGCCGCCGCCCCUGGGCGAGAUCCGUUACCCGUACGUGUGCGACCGCUGCAAGAUGCCGUUCCAGACGCGGCAGGCGCUCUGCGGCCACCACGCCAGCCACAAUGAUAAGAAAGGCUGCUCCUGGCUCGAAAGAGAGGAGCUCGCCGCCGCCGAAGAAGCUCGGAAGCCCGUCGUGUUCGACGUUGAUCUGAACCUUCCGGCUCCGGAGGCAGAGGAACAUGAGGAGGAGUAG